AAAUUGUUGCAGUUAAAAGCUCGUAGUUGAAUUUCUGCUAAAAAUAACCGGUCUGCUUUUAAUAAAGGUGGUAUCUUGGUGUGUUUUUAGCAAUAAUGUCCUUUGAAAUGUUUUUUACUUUAUUGUAAUAAAUUAUAUUCAGGAUUUUUACUUUGAGAAAAUUAGAGUGUUUCUAGCAGGCUAACGCUUUGAAUACUGCAGCAUGGAAUAAUAAAAUAGGAUUUUGGUUCUACAUUAUUGGUUUUAAGAGCUAAAUUAAUGAUUGAUAGGGACAGUUGGGGGCAUUUGUAUUUAACUGUCAGAGGUGAAAUUCUUAGAUUUGUUAAAGACAAACUACUGCGAAAG
rnacentral:rRNA from 1 species